rnacentral:rRNA from 1 species
UACGGGGGGGGCAAGCGUUGUUCGGAAUUACUGGGCGUAAAGGGCUCGUAGGCGGUCUGUCGCGUCGGGAGUGAAAACUCAGGGCUUAACCCUGAGCCUGCUUCCGAUACGGGCAGACUAGAGGUAUGCAGGGGAGAACGGAAUUCCUGGUGUAGCGGUGAAAUGCGCAGAUAUCAGGAGGAACACCGGUGGCGAAGGCGGUUCUCUGGGCAUUACCUGACGCUGAGGAGCGAAAGUGUGGGGAGCGAACAGG